rnacentral:rRNA from 1 species
UACGUAGGUGGCAAGCGUUGUCCGGAUUUACUGGGCGUAAAGAGCGCGCAGGCGGUCGUUCAAGUCGCGUGUGAAAGCCCCCGGCUCAACUGGGGAGGGUCACGCGAUACUGAUCGACUCGAAGGCAGGAGAGGGAAGUGGAAUUCCCGGUGUAGUGGUGAAAUGCGUAGAUAUCGGGAGGAACACCAGUGGCGAAGGCGACUUCCUGGCCUGUUCUUGACGCUGAGGCGCGAAGGCAUGGGGAGCGAACGGG